CUAAUAAUUAUUUAGUUUGUUUUUUUCUUUUUCAAUAAAUAGUUUAAAAAUGUAUUACUUUCAAACAGGAAAUAACUAAGACAAUGUUGUUAUAAAGAAAGAUGUGUGUUGUUGUGUUAACCAAUGAGGUAGUUUUCUCACUGACCUCGGGAGGUCAGAGGGCGGAGUGCGAGGGAAGAAGGAAGUGGAGUGUGAGGGAUGACACGAGGUGGCGGAUAUACCUGCGCGAAUCGCACGGUCCGGGGAAAAUCGCACGGAAAAGCGCGAAAACCGAGUUUGCAGACGGGGGAAAAAAAAAGGACACCUAGCAGAUAAGAGACUUUGUGAGAGACAAAGGAUACCGCAAGUUCUCUUCAUCUCAGUGCUUAACGGUUUGCAACGCGAAUACUCGUGUGCAGUGCGUGAGAACCGGAGAAACUAAGGCUACACAAUUCGGCAGGAGAGACCGGAGGCCUCGUGGAGACUUCUACUGCAUCUUUUCCUUGUUUACAUCGUUGGCUAGUGGAUGUUUCCCUUUUGAGUUUCCCUGUUCCGUUGGAUUGCGUGUAAAUGUUCUUCUGUAGCACCACAGACCCUCCAGCUCAGGGACUGCAGACUGAACUGAACUCUUAAAGCAGUUUUCCUCACUGCCAGUCCGAGAGCUGCAGCACUGCACAGUUUAUUUUACUGCUUCAACACCUGAUAAAGCUCAUGAAGGGCUUCAUAAUGAGACGAGUGAGUUUGAUUACGUGGAACACUGCUGUAAAACACCUCACUGUACUGACCUCACAUCAGUAGAACUGUCUCUGUCUCUGAAGUUAUUUGGACAUCCCAUUGACUCGUCACUCUUCAUGGACACACAGCUGGGUUCUGAUCCAGUCUGUAAACUUAUUCAAACAGGAGACAGGCCUCAUAACUCAGGAAUUACACUGAUAUCAGGAGUCCCAAUCACAGCAAACUGACUCAGAUUACAGCAGGACACACGUUUACUUCACUCCAACAUCGGUGUGUUAAAUUAAACCCUGAAUCAGCAGAGUUCACUUACAGGAAAUAGUCACGCUAUCAAGUUAUAAAACAACCUGUGUACAUUAAAACUUCAGUACAAACCCACACUCUUCUGCAUCUAGUGUCACUUCAGUGUGUUUAUAUAUUAGAGCUUUAGAUACUCACUGUGUUUUUACUCCUGAAAUCUUUUAUGUUUCACUUCACACAAAAUGGAGCUGCUGACUUUCACUUUUACUGACACUGGUCUAACUGAUUUUUCUGGUUUAUGCUGAAGUGUAUGUACUGUAUGUGUGUGUGUGUGUGUGUGUGUGUGUGUUUCAUUUCUGUUUAUUUAUCUUUUCACAGACAUUUUUAGGGAUUUUUUAUUAUGAGCAGGAGAUAGAAUCCAAUUCUCAGCUGGUGAAUGAGAAUCAUAGCUGAUGUAUCAUGUGCACAGACAUUCAGUAAGAAAUAAUGUGAGGUCUCAUGAUGUUCAUGCUGCAUUUUAAGUUAGUGAUGUGCUUUUUUUUAUUAUUGGUCAGUGCUGUUAUCAGUGUCAUAUGACAUGAUACAGAAACACUUAGUAAAUCUCAAUGUGAUAAACUGGUUUAAUAACAGAAUCUGCACUACAACACCUCUGGUAAACGUCUUCAUUGUCUACUAUUGAGUAAUAAACAUGUAUUCAAUAAGGGGACAUGUGAAUAUACUGUGUUGGAAUGUUGGAAACAAAUGUAUAUCAUGUGAUCAGAUACUUUAUUUAGUUUUUACUCCUGAAAUCUUUUAUUUUUCACCCGUCACAAAAUGGAGCUGUUGACUUUCACUUUUACUGACACUAGUCUAACUGGUUUGUCUGGUUCAUGCUGAUGUUUGUGUGUGUGUGUGUGUGUGUGUGUGUGUGUGUGUGUGUGUGUGUGUGUGUGUGAGGACUCAUAAUGUUAGGAUUAUAGUAUAUGUGCUGCAUUAUAAGUUAGUGAUGUACUUUUUUAUUAUUGGUCAGUGCUGUUAUCAGUGUCAUAUGAUGUGAUACAGAAACACUUAGUAAAUCUCAUUGUGAUAAACUGGUUUAAUAACAGAACCUGCACUACAACACCUCUGGGAAACAUUAUCAUUGUCUAAUAUUGAGUAAUAAACAUGUAUUCAAUAAGGGGACAUGUGAAUAUACUGUGUUGGAAUGUUGGAAACAAAUGUAUAUCAUGUGAUCAGAUACUUUAUUUAGUUUUUACUCCUGAAAUCUUUUAUUUUUCACCCGUCACAAAAUGGAGCUGUUGACUUUCACUUUUACUGACACUAGUCUAACUGGUUUGUCUGGUUCAUGCUGAUGUUUGUGUGUGUGUGUGUGUGUAUGUGUGUGAGGACUCAUAAUGUGAGGAUUAUAGUAUAUGUGUAUAUGUGCAUUAUAAGUUAGUGAUGUGUUUUUUUUUAUUAUUGGUCAGUGCUGUUAUCAGUGUCAUAUGAUGUGAUAUAGAAAGACUUUGUAAAUCUCAUUGUGAUAAACUGGUUUAAUAACAGAACCUGCACUACAACACCUCUGGGAAACAUCAUCAUGGUCUAAUAUUGAGUAAUAAACAUGUAUUCAAUAAGGGGACAUGCGGAUAUACUAUGUUUUUGAAACUUAUGUGCAUUAUGUGAUCAGAUAAUUGGCUCAAUAAAUUGGAUUGGUUAGGGGAAUAAAUGGAGAAUAUUUUUAAAAAGAAGUUAAAAAAAGACUUAAAUUCUUGAUGGAAAACAAUAAAUGAAAUGUUUAGAUAUUUCAGGACGUUUGAGCAGAGAGGAUCUUUAAAUAAUACUAAAAACCAUGAAUUAUUUUACAAAAUAAAUGUUUUUGUCAUUCUGAUAUUAGAUAAUAGAUAUUAGUUUUUAUUGACUGAUAUAGAGAAAUGAUUUAUGAAGCAUUAAAGGAAUGCUGAACAUUUUACAUUAGUAAUAUUAUUAGUGAUACACA